AACUGCAGCAACAACAGUUAAGAACAAAGGGAGAACUGGGUCUGAGAAAGGCUUAUGAGGCUGUCUCCAUCCAGGUAAGAGGUAAGAAUGAUGAGGCUUAGAACAAGGAAAGUAGGCCUGGCAUAGCAAUAGGAUAGCAAGAAAAAGUCAAAGUGAAAACACACUUCUGGAGAGAAUUCAGAAAACUUCUUGAAAUUCCUUCUCUAUGAUUCCUUACCACCAUACCAAUUUUGUCGACUUCAACCAAAUUGCUACUAGUGAUGCCACCCCACAUUAUGCUGCUAUUGAAAUUCUACUGUGGACUGCAACCAGAUAUACCAGCCUGAGAAGUCAACCUCACAACUCUUCAAAUCUGGUGAUGCCACCUUCCAGACACCAGGCUGCAGAUGCUGCCAUGACCCCAACUUGACUUCUCUGGGCAGAUGACUUCACUAAUGUGUCCUGGACCCUUGCAUCUUCAGAGCUCUGAUCCACUAGGGAAAGACAGAAACAGGCUAUGGGUAUGGAUUGACCUGUCCAUACCAAUGCUCAGCAGAGAAGCAGCUACAGAAGCCAGAACUCCUACCUUCUUCUCUUCAUAAACAACCUUAAUCCAUACUCCCAGUGGGGUAAAGUGAUAGGAUGAAGAUAAGAGGACUCUGCACUCCAACUCCAUCAGCACCCAGAGAAAAAGGAGAGGGACAUAUGGAGGUAGUUAUAAUGUCAUGAGUGGUUUAGAGGGGAAAAGAGGAUUGAAUCAGAAAAAGAAGGGGCAACUAUGUAUAAAUGUGGACAGAAGACGGUUGUCCCAUGUCUACAUUUUUAGGGGAGUUGCGGUGGAUUGCAGUGGGGUGAGUGAAGAUUCAGAACUCUGGUGGUGGGAAUGGUGUGGAUUCAAACUCCUGUCGACAUGUAAUCUAUAAUAUAAAAAUAAAAAAAUAUUUUAAAAGAUAAAGAAAACACACUUCUGGAAAGAAUUCAGAAAACUUUAAAUGACUACACAUAAGGAGAGAAAGAGAAGGAACCAUCAAUAUGUUUUUUAGUGCUCCAAAUAUAUGUAUGCUUAAACAAAACUAACUCUAAGACGUGGUGAAAAUUACGACUGAUUAUUGAUGGGAAAGAGGGAAGAAAGGAGAAAAUGUGUAAAGGUAUCUUUUUUUGCUUCCAGGUUUAUCACUGAGGCUGUGAAUCCACUGUUCUUUUGUUCCUCUUGUUGAUUAUCAUUGUUAUUAUUAUUGUUGUUGUUGUUGUUGCUGUCCUUGUUGUUGGAUAGGAUAGAGAGGAAUCAAGAGAGGAGGGGAAGAGAAAGAUAGACACCUGCAGACCUGCUUCACCACUGGUGAAGUGACCUCUCUCCACGUGGGGAGCCGAGGGGCUCGAACUGGGAUCCUUAGGUUGGUCCUUGUGUUUUGUACCAUGUGUGCUUAGCCUGCUGCACUACAGCCCAUCCCCCAAGGUGUCUUUUGAUAGUGAAAGGACACUAGAACUUUAGUUGGUGUGUAUGAGAUUCAAUGAAUAAGACACACAUGUAUGAAAAUAUACCCCUUAAAUUUAUAGCACUGUAAAGCAAUGCCAAAUUAAUAAAAUAAACCAUUAAGAAUAAAUACAACUUAUA